rnacentral:rRNA from 1 species
AAGCGUCUGCAGGUGGUUUCUUAAGUCUACUGUUAAAUCUUGAGGCUCAACCUCAAAUCUGCAGUAGAAACUAGGAGACUUGAGUAUAGUAGGGGUAGAGGGAAUUUCCAGUGGAGCGGUGAAAUGCGUAGAUAUUGGAAAGAACACCGAUGGCGAAGGCACUCUACUGGGCUAUUACUGACACUCAGAGACGAAAGCUAGGGGAGCAAAUGGGAUUAGAUACCCCAGUAGUCCUAGCCGUAAACGAUGGAUACUCGAUGUUGGACGUAUCGACCCGUUCAGUAUCUUAGCUAACGCGUUAAGUAUCCCGCCUGGGGAGUACGCUCGCAAGAGUGCAACUCAAAGGAAUUGACGGGGGCCCGCACAAGCGGUGGAGGAUGUGGUUUAAUUCGAUGCAACGCGAAGAACCUUACCAGGGUUUGCUAGAAGUGUUGGUUUUCUGAAAAGAAUUCCUUAUUCCGCUUCUACAGGUGGUGCAUGGCUGUCGUCAGCUCGUGUCGUGAGAUGUUGGGUUAAGUCCCGCAACGAGCGCAACCCUUAUUUUUAGUUCUAUUGUCUAGAAAGACUGCCGGUGACAAACCGGAGGAAGGUGAGGACGACGUCAAGUCAUCAUGCCCCUUACACCCUGGGCUACACACGUCCUACAAUGGGUAAGACAAUAAGUUGCAAAUUCGCGAGAAUAAGCUAAUCUUUGAAACUUACUCCAAGUACAGAUUGCAGGCUGCAACUCGCCUGCAUGAAGGUG